rnacentral:rRNA from 1 species
UACGUAGGGGGGCUAGCGUUGUCCGGAAUCAUUGGGCGUAAAGAGCGUGUAGGCGGCCCGGUAAGUCCGCUGUAAAAGUCAAAGGCUCAACCUUUGAAUGUCAGUGGAUACUGCCGGGCUAGAGUCCGGAAGAGGUGAGUGGAAUUCCUGGUGUAGCGGUGAAAUGCGCAGAUAUCAGGAGGAACACCGGUGGCGAAGGCGGCAUCCUGGACCGAUUACUGACACUGAAAAGCGAAAGCGUGGGGAGCAACCGG